rnacentral:misc_RNA from 1 species
AACCAUAGAAACCUGCGGAGUACCUGCGGAAGGAUCAUCGAAGAAUAUUAUUGUAUUCCUUUAUAAAAAAAAGAAGGAGGGGGGGGGAAGGAGGGUAGAAAGGAUCUUCUUCUUUACGGGGAAGUUCCCUCUCUCUCUUUUUCUCUUUCCUCUUUUUUUUUUACAAACAAACGAUCGCAACUAUCUCAAUAGAUAUAAUCUGGCUUGGCUUGGUUGGUUGGAGAGGAGGGGGGAAGAAAA